rnacentral:misc_RNA from 1 species
UAACUGCGUGCAGACGUGUGAACUGCAGGACACAUGAACACCGACGUUUCGAACGCAAAUGGCGGUCUAAAGUAAAUUUUAGACCACGUCUGGCUGAGGGUCGGAUUUGAAAUAAAACUAAAGUUACUCAAACUAAUGGCUUACAGGAUUUUUAAAAAAAUCGAGUAGCCUGUUUGAUACGAAAGUUUCAUCGCUGGGUUAAAAUUUAGCUCAGUUAGAAUUCUGGUAGCGCUGAACAAGAAAGCUAACUUGAUGUUAUAAUAAAAUGUUAAAAGCGAUAAAUGUUUGCGCUAUUCAAAAAAUUUAUAAAACAAAUCAAACAUACGACCUCAGGUCAGGCGGGGCUACCCGCUGAGUUUAA